GUUUCAGACCCAUUCCAAUUUAAGUUCAAGGACAGACGGAUCGAAUCUAACCCUCCUAUACCCCGAUUCCAAACUAGUUCACGAACCAGAAUCAUUAACUUGGUCCAAUCUUGAGUUUGACUUGGACAGACCCCAACAUAGUUCAUGUUUAGAAUUUAUCUGUGAACGGGUAGUCUAAUUGAUAAUAUAACAACUCAGUUUUCAUUUUUUCAUUAAUUAGUAUUUAAUUUUAUUAAGAUGAUUUAAAAGUAAUAAUUUUAAAUAUAUUAAACUAAUGUAAAAACAGUCUUACAUUUAUCUAAAAAAAAUUAAUUUUAAUAUAUAUAAAUUGAUAUGAAAAUGC
rnacentral:misc_RNA from 1 species